rnacentral:misc_RNA from 1 species
GAUGAAGAACGCAGCGAAAUGCGAUAAGUAAUGUGAAUUGCAGAAUUCAGUGAAUCAUCGAGUCUUUGAACGCACAUUGCGCCCCCUGAUAUUCCGGGGGGCAUGCCUGUCCGAGCGUCAUUGCCGCCCUCAAGCACGGCUUGUGUGUUGGGCCCCCGCCCCCCGGCUUCGGGGGGCGGGCCCGAAAGGCAGCGGCGGCACCGCGUCCGGUCCUCGAGCGUAUGGGGCUUCGUCACCCGCUCUGUAGGCCCGGCCGGCGCCCGCCGGCGACCCCAAUCAAUCUUUCCAGGUUGACCUCGGAUCAGGUAGGGAUACCCGCUGAACUUAAGCAUAUCAAUAAGCGGAGGA